CUCCAAGGCAACGCUGCACCGCUGGCACCAACAGCCACCCAUAAACUCCUCCUGUGCCCAUGCUGAAUCCCAGCAAGGACCGGAGACCUCACCCAGGGGACUUAGGGCCAACAGGAUAAGGAUUUGAUGGCCAAUUCAGAUGUGGCCCUCCACCAGUUAGGACUGAUGCAGUGAUGAGUGCCUGAUCCGUGACUGUAAGAUUUCCCCAUCAGACCAUUGAAGCCGUAUGAAUGGUGUACAUUUGCAGCUGUGAAUCCGGGGAAGAUGGUGCAGUUGGCACUGUUAUAUAAACACCUUGAACAGAAUGCACGACUGCUGACAGGUUUACCUAACAAAAUGAAAACACGAUGAAAAUCUUCAUUUGUUUCCAAGUAAAAGGAAAUGUUCCCACGUGUUUGGACAUCUGUACACCCGACAUGUGGCAGUUAUUGUGCUGAGCAAUCAUUGCACUUAACAUGCUCUGGGAAAUUAAGAUUUUCAAAAAUUCAAUUCCUUGCAUUCUUCUAGAAAACAAGACUGCGCAGCCGGCCACGAAUCAAUCCCUUCUAAAUAUAUUGCUGUUGUUUGAUUACAAAUAACAUACUUAUCAAUGUGUCACUCAUCCUGUGAUGCUGAAGGAUGUCGAGUUCUGUGUAUGGGAAAAAAGUAUUUAUGCCUCAUUCAUAAAAAAAUUGUUGAUGAAGCAUUGAAUGAAAUCAUCAUCAAUGUGUAUGUCUAUGUCAGUGAUUAUAUUGGGAAAGAAGACACGUCUUUAAUGUAGCUUAUUUAUUCAAACUACUGGAUCUAGAUAGGAGGACCAUUCAAAAUCUUGGACAAUUAUAGGAUCCAUUGUGUGGAAUGUUUGGGACAUAUGGUUUCUGCAUACGGUUAUUUGUUCAUAUUGACUGUUAAGCCCCAAAAAAAUGUGCUUAAUUGCAUAAAAA